rnacentral:misc_RNA from 1 species
CCAAUAGCGUAUAUUAAAGUUGUUGUGGUUAAAAAGCUCGUAGUUGAACCUUGGGCCUGGCUGGCCGGUCCGCCUCACCGCGUGUACUGGUCCGGCCGGGCCUUUCCCUCUGUGGAACCCCAUGCCCUUCACUGGGUGUGGCGGGGAAACAGGACUUUUACUGUGAAAAAAUUAGAGUGCUCCAGGCAGGCCUAUGCUCGAAUACAUUAGCAUGGAAUAAUAGAAUAGGACGGGUGGUUCUAUUUUGUUGGUUUCUAGGACCGCCGUAAUGAUUAAUAGGGACAGUCGGGGGCAUCAGUAUUCAAUUGUCAGAGGUGAAAUUCUUGGAUUUAUUGAAGACUAACUACUGCGAAAGCAUUUGCCAAGGAUGUUUUCAUUAAUCAGGAACGAAAGUUAGGGGAUCGAAGACGAUCAGAUACCGUCGUAGUCUUAACCAUAAACUAUGCCGACUAGGGAUCGGACGGUGUUAUUUUUUGACCCGUUCGGCACCUUACGAGAAACCAAAGUGUUUGGGUC